UUUGGUGGCGAUGGCGAAGAGGUCACACCCGUUCCCAUGCCGAACACGGAAGUUAAGCUCUUCAGCGCCGAUGGUAGUUGGGGGAUUCCCCCUGUGAGAGUAGGACGUUGCCAGGC
rnacentral:rRNA from 1 species